rnacentral:rRNA from 1 species
AUGGCGGUUCAGAAUACGUCCACUGCAUCUAUGGGAGAUGAGGGAGAUGCAGAGGGUGUCGUCGUCAACAAAUCAAAGGCCUCCUGUUGGACUCGACGUGUUAGGAUUGGCAAAGCGCCAGAAGAGAGGGAUGCCAACCCAAGCAGAGUCCUUGCCCUCGAAGCUUCAAUGCGAGGUUAUGCAGACAACAAGGUUGGCACUGUUGUUAACCCGGCGCUCAGAACUAGAUUCGACACAGUUGAAGAAGCGUGUGAGUUUUACAACCUAUACUCCUGGGAGACUGGGUUUAGCGUCAGGGCAAGCCAUUGCAAUCGAAAAGCCGCUCGACGAGGUGUGGAUGCCCCGUGUUGA